AAGCUCUUGAUCGAAGCCCCAGUAAACGGCGGCCGUAACUAUAACGGUCCUAAGGUAGCGAAAUUCCUUGUCGGGUAAGUUCCGACCUGCACGAAUGGCAUAAUGAUGGCGGCGCUGUCUCCAGCAGAGGCUCAGUGAAAUCGAAAUCGCUGUGAAGAUGCAGUGUACCCGCGGCUAGACGGAAAGACCCCGUGAACCUUUACUGCAGCUUGACAUUGAACUUUGACCUUACUUGUGUAGGAUAGGUGGGAGGCUAUGAAGAUGUGACGCCAGUUACAUUGGAGCCAUCCUUGAAAUACCACCCUGGUAAUGUUGAGGUUCUAACUCUGCCCCGUAAUCCGGGGCGAGGACCAUGUCUGGUGGGUAGUUUGACUGGGGCGGUCUCCUCCUAAAGAGUAACGGAGGAGUACGAAGGUGCGCUCAGCGUGGUCGGAAAUCACGCGUAGAGUAUAAAGGCAAAAGCGCGCUUAACUGCGAGACCCACAAGUCGAGCAGGUACGAAAGUAGGUCUUAGUGAUCCGGUGGUUCUGUAUGGAAGGGCCAUCGCUCAACGGAUAAAAGGUACUCUGGGGAUAACAGGCUGAUACCGCCCAAGAGUUCAUAUCGACGGCGGUGUUUGGCACCUCGAUGUCGGCUCAUCUCAUCCUGGGGCUGAAGCAGGUCCCAAGGGUAUGGCUGUUCGCCAUUUAAAGAGGUACGCGAGCUGGGUUUAGAACGUCGUGAGACAGUUCGGUCCCUAUCUACCGUGGGCGCUGGAAAUUUGAGAGGAUCUGCUCCUAGUACGAGAGGACCAGAGUGGACGAACCUCUGGUGUACCGGUUGUGACGCCAGUCGCAUCGCCGGGUAGCUAUGUUCGGAAGGGAUAACCGCUGAAAGCAUCUAAGCGGGAAGCCUACCUCAAGAUAAGAUUUCCCUGUGACUAUAUGUCACCUAAAGAGCCGUUCAAGACUAGGACGUUGAUAGGUUGGAUGUGGAAGCAUAGUGAUAUGUGAAGCUGACCAAUACUAAUUGCUCGUGAGGCUUGACUAU
rnacentral:rRNA from 1 species